UUUAUAUAUUUUAAUGAAAAACUUUUAUUCCUGUUUUAUAUCUUCUCCGUAUAAAUAUCGCAACAAGAGAUAAUUAUUUAUUACACUAAUUUUAAUGAGAGAUUUACCGAUUAUUGCGUAACGAAGAAUUUUCCUAUACAUAAUACUGCAGAGUAACUAGAGAACACCACGGAGAUGGGCGUAGGUCCUGGGCAGAUUAAGAUCGAACGAUCCUGCGGUCGAUCCCGCGAAAGAACCUAAGGCACGAGCGAUUCUCGCGGCUCGCCCUCCCGACGUUUACCCUGGUAAGCCUUCCUCUCGGCCAGAUAAGCCUUUGGAUUCAACCCCCGAGGUUGAUCACCGAUAGCCCAUGGCCCUAACAUACUCCGACCAGCUAGCACCCAAUUCCAAAUCCUCUGGCACCCUCUUGGACGAAACUGGCUGAUGCCGGCGGCAAAGGGGCCGAUUUCGAGAGAGAGCAUCUUUGCUCCCUUUUCCUCACUCCUUUUUAUGGCCUGUUAAAUGAACUUCCCGUGCUCUUUUAUAUCGUCCAAGUUGACUCGUCGGUUUGCUCUCUCUUUCUCUCUCUUCCUCACCGAUGUCGAUUUACGAGCGACUCGUGGAUUUCGUUUUGGAUCGGAAACCUAUGAAUCGAGCCUGUGCGGGAUUUCUGUUACUAUCACGUUAAGCAAUAUAUUCGUGGCUAUAAUAGCAAAAUACAGAAAUAGAUACGAGACU